GUGUCAGCAGCCGCGGUAAUACGGAGGGUGCAAGCGUUAUCCGGAUUCACUGGGUUUAAAGGGUGUGUAGGCGGGCUGUUAAGUCAGUGGUGAAAUCUCCGGGCUCAACCCGGAAACUGCCAUUGAUACUAUCAGUCUUGAAUCUUGUUGAGGUAGGCGGAAUAUAUCAUGUAGCGGUGAAAUGCUUAGAUAUGAUAUAGAACACCGAUUGCGAAGGCAGCUUACUAAACAAGCAUUGACGCUGAGGCACGAAAGCGUGGGGAUCAAACAGGAUUAGAUACCCCGGUAGUCC
rnacentral:rRNA from 1 species